CCCAGACUCCUACGGGAGGCAGCAGUGGGGGAUAUUGCACAAUGGGGGGAACCCUGAUGCAGCGACGCCGCGUGGGUGAAGGAGCGUUUCGGCGCGUAAAGCCCUCUCGGCAGGGAAGAAGGAGGACGGUACCUGACUAAGAAGCCCCGGCUAACUACGUGCCAGCAGCCGCGGUAAUACGUAGGGGGCAAGCGUUAUCCGGAUUUACUGGGUGGAAAGGGGGCGCAGACGGCAGCGCAAGCCAGGAGUGAAAGCCCGGGGCCCAACCCCGGGACUGCUCUUGGAACUGCGCGGCUGGAGUGCAGGAGGGGCAGGCGGAAUUCCUGGUGUAGCGGUGAAAUGCGUAGAUAUCAGGAGGAACACCGGUGGCGAAGGCGGCCUGCUGGACUGCGACUGACGUUGAGGCCCGAAAGCGUGGGGAGCAAACAGGAUUAGAUACCCGGGUAAA
rnacentral:rRNA from 1 species